CCUCGUCUGUUCCAGCCCAUUUAAGGCGUUAUCGUACUCUCUGUGAUCCAUUUUGCUCUGUUUUGAACCAGAGAAAUCCACGUACUGACCCAUUUCUGA